UACGUAGGGUGCGAGCGUUAAUCGGAAUUACUGGGCGUAAAGCGUGCGUAGGCGGUUCUCCAAGUCCGGUGUGAAAGCCCCGGGCUCAACCUGGGAAUGGCAGUGGAAACUAGGGGACUGGAAUCUGGCAGAGGGGGGUGGAAUGCCGCGUGUAGCAGUGAAAUGCGUAGAGAUGCGGCGGAACACCGAUGGCGAAGGCAGCCCCCUGGGCUGAGAUUGACGCUCAGGCACGAAAGCGUGGGGAGCAAACAGG
rnacentral:rRNA from 1 species